UAUAUAUUAGUGUAUGGCGCACGUGGAAUUUUGAAUUCCUUAGAUUUAGUUUAAUUCUAAAAUGUAUAA
rnacentral:tRNA from 1 species